GGGUUGUGAGGUUAAGCGACUAAGCGUACACGGUGGAUGCCCUGGCAGUCAGAGGCGAUGAAGGGCGUGCUAAUCUGCGAUAAGCGCCGGUAAGGUGAUAUGAACCGUUAUAACCGGCGAUACCCGAAUGGGGAAACCCAGUGUGAUUCGUCACACUAUCAUUAACUGAAUCCAUAGGUUAAUGAGGCGAACCGGGGGAACUGAAACAUCUAAGUACCCCGAGGAAAAGAAAUCAACCGAGAUUCCCCCAGUAGCGGCGAGCGAACGGGGAGGAGCCCAGAGCCUGAAUCAGCAUGUGUGUUAGUGGAAGCGUCUGGAAAGGCGCGCGAUACAGGGUGACAGCCCCGUACACAAAAGCGUAUGUGCUGUGAGCUCGAUGAGUAGGGCGGGACACGUGGUAUCCUGUCUGAAUAUGGGGGGACCAUCCUCCAAGGCUAAAUACUCCUGACUGACCGAUAGUGAACCAGUACCGUGAGGGAAAGGCGAAAAGAACCCCGGCGAGGGGAGUGAAAAAGAACCUGAAACCGUGUACGUACAAGCAGUGGGAGCACCCUUUGGGGUGUGACUGCGUACCUUUUGUAUAAUGGGUCAGCGACUUAUAUUCUGUAGCAAGGUUAACCGAAUAGGGGAGCCGGAGGGAAACCGAGUCUUAAUUGGGCGUUAAGUUGCAGGGUAUAGACCCGAAACCCGGUGAUCUAGCCAUGGGCAGGUUGAAGGUUGGGUAACACUAACUGGAGGACCGAACCGACUAAUGUUGAAAAAUUAGCGGAUGACCUGUGGCUGGGGGUGAAAGGCCAAUCAAACCGGGAGAUAGCUGGUUCUCCCCGAAAGCUAUUUA
rnacentral:rRNA from 1 species